CGGAACGGGUGAGUAACGCGUGAGGAACCUGCCUCAAAGAGGGGGACAACAGUUGGAAACGACUGCUAAUACCGCAUAAGCCCACGGGUCGGCAUCGACCAGAGGGAAAAGGAGCAAUCCGCUUUGAGAUGGCCUCGCGUCCGAUUAGCUAGUUGGUGAGGUAAUGGCCCACCAAGGCAACGAUCGGUAGCCGGACUGAGAGGUUGAACGGCCACAUUGGGACUGAGACACGGCCCAG
rnacentral:rRNA from 1 species